UACGUAGGCAGCAAGCGUUGUUCGGAGUUAUUGGGCGUAAAGGGCGCGUAGGCGGUGCGGUAAGUCACCUGUGAAAACUCUGGGCUCAACUCAGAGCCUGCAGGCGAAACUGCCGUGCUUGAGUGUGGGAGAGGUGCGUGGAAUUCCCGGUGUAGCGGUGAAAUGCGUAGAUAUCGGAAGGAACACCUGUGGCGAAAGCGGCGCACUGGACCACAACUGACGCUGAGGCGCGAAAGCUAGGGGAGCAAACAGG
rnacentral:rRNA from 1 species